rnacentral:misc_RNA from 1 species
UUUCCGUAGGUGAACCUGCGGAAGGAUCAUUAUUGUAUAACCGAGGUGCGAGGGCUGUCGCUGACCCGAAAGGUCGUGCACGCCCGAGUGCCCUCACACACAUCCAUCUCACCCCUAUGUGCACCACCGCGUGGGUCCCCCUUUGGCUUGUUCGGAGGGGGGCUUACGCUUUCACACAAACUCUGUAUGCAGUGUAGAAUGUAUUUUUUGUUUUUGCGAUCACGCAAUCAAUACAACUUUCAACAACGGAUCUCUUGGCUCUC